UGUUCCGCCAGGAGCAUAGCUGGGUAGCUAAGUCGGGAAGGGAUAAACGCUGAAAGCAUCUAAGCGUGAAGCCCCCCUCAAGAUGAGAUUUCCCAUAGCAUAAGCUAGUAAGACCCCUUGAAGAACACAAGGUUGAUAGGUCAGAGGUGUAAGUGUGGUAACACAUUUAGCUGACUGAUACUAAUAGGUCGAGGGCUUGACCAA
rnacentral:rRNA from 1 species